rnacentral:rRNA from 1 species
GAGUGAAAAAGAACCUGAAACCGUGUACGUACAAGCAGUGGGAGCACCCUUUUGGGUGUGACUGCGUACCUUUUGUAUAAUGGGUCAGCGACUUAUAUUCUGUAGCAAGGUUAACCGAAUAGGGGAGCCGAAGGGAAACCGAGUCUUAACUGGGCGUUAAGUUGCAGGGUAUAGACCCGAAACCCGGUGAUCUAGCCAUGGGCAGGUUGAAGGUUGGGUAACACUAACUGGAGGACCGAACCGACUAAUGUUGAAAAAUUAGCGGAUGACUUGUGGCUGGGGGUGAAAGGCCAAUCAAACCGGGAGAUAGCUGGUUCUCCCCGAAAGCUAUUUAGGUAGCGCCUCGUGAAUUCAUCUCCGGGGGUAGAGCACUGUUUCGGCAAGGGGGUCAUCCCGACUUACCAACCCGAUGCAAACUGCGAAUACCGGAGAAUGUUAUCACGGGAGACACACGGCGGGUGCUAACGUCCGUCGUGAAGAGGGAAACAACCCAGACCGCCAGCUAAGGUCCCAAAGUCAUGGUUAAGUGGGAAACGAUGUGGGAAGGCCCAGACAGCCAGGAUGUUGGCUUAGAAGCAGCCAUCAUUUAAAGAAAGCGUAAUAGCUCACUGGUCGAGUCGGCCUGCGCGGAAGAUGUAACGGGGCUAAACCAUG